UACGUAGGUGGCAAGCGUUGUCCGGAUUUACUGGGCGUAAAGAGCGCGCAGGCGGUCGUUCAAGUCGCGUGUGAAAGCCCCCGGCUCAACUGGGGAGGGUCACGCGAUACUGAUCGACUCGAAGGCAGGAGAGGGAAGUGGAAUUCCCGGUGUAGUGGUGAAAUGCGUAGAUAUCGGGAGGAACACCAGUGGCGAAGGCAGCACUCUGGGACGGUACUGACGCUGAGACGCGAAAGCGUGGGGAGCGAACAGG
rnacentral:rRNA from 1 species